AUUCCAUGAUGGGGACAUUCUAGGAUAUAGUCUUGGAAGUGCUCCCAUGCUUCUGGAACGGAUUCAUCAUGUUGUUGCUGAAAACUUGUAAUCUUCCCACGGAGAGC
rfam:Sorghum bicolor cultivar BTx623 chromosome 2, whole genome shotgun sequence.